GCAGGGCGCGGUGGUGCAUGCCUGUAAUCCCAGCAGCUCAGGAGGCUGAGGCAGGAGGAUGGUGAGUUCCAAGCCAGCCUCAGCAACAUAGUGAGGCGCUAAGCAACUCAGUGAGAACUUGUCUCUA
rnacentral:sRNA from 1 species